AGGUGCUAAGCAGCAGACACACUCACACACACACAGAGGAAAGGAACACAUAUCUCCUUCUCAGGGCUCCACUCUUCAAUCUAAGAAGGCUUACUUCCAACGGCCAGCCACUUUGCCUUUCCCACCUCGGCCCGCUUUUGUGCUGUAAGGAUAAAAAAGAAAAUGGAUGAAAUGAAAGGAGGAAAACAAAUUGUACAGAGCAGGAGACACCUUUUAAUGUCUCUUCAGUGAUGAGCAAGGAGUGUUGCAAUAUGGGCGUCAGUCACUUAGGACUUCACCAAAAGCUUUUUUCUUUAGCAUUAACUUGGCACAUUACUUACCACAGCUGGCACUGAGAUCACUCAGUUUAAAGGAAGGUAUCUGCUUUUUGCCUUUAGCCUUCUGGAGCAUUCAUUAUUCCCAUCAGAGGCUUUUUAUUCUCCUUUUUUUACUCAAACAGGCCACACAUCACACAUGACACACAUCUCCCAGACAUUAAAAAAUAUGUACUCUUGGAACAUCUGUUCAAGUGGCCUUUUGAGGAAUUAUGAAGUAGUUGCAGAAUGAAGCACAUCUGUCUUGAUUUUAACCCAUGUUUUAGCUUGGUUAAAGAGGUGGAGUCCCUUUAUAAGAAAUGACUUUCCAUAGUUCACCUUGUCUGUAUUCCUACUCCUUGUUACCUUGCUUGUUAUUCCACUGCAUGCCCCUGACCUUUUCAAUAAUGACCUUACUUGGAUGGCCCAGUCUGCUUUACUUGGCUGUUUAGAGAUUCUGAUGUACUUACGAGAAAUCGUAGGCAAAGGUCGGGCUCCCACUUCAGGCUGACACACUUUCAUGACAUGUUUCUUAAAUAGCCCUUAUGGCAAAUUGUCUGGCUUGACACCUUGUAUGUAUGACACAUUUGUGCACAUGUGGGGCUCUGAUUUCAGGAAAGAGUAUAUCAAUAUUAGACUUUUUCUUAUGAUCAUGGAAGCCAGAGACUGUUACUUUAAAAUUAGUUCAACAAAGAAUACAGGGGCAUAGUAGAUAAUUUCAGACACACAUUAGAAACGUUUUCUUCACUCUGAGACUAUAAACAUACAGAAUAAAGUAAAAAGCAGUUUGGUGGACAGGAGGACUACACUGGAUUGGCAAGUUAUGCUGGGCUGAAUGACACAUUCUUCUCAAACGUAUUUCUGAUGUUCUAAUUUCUCUGUUUUGGAAUUUGUAAUGUAGGCAACAGUGGGCCAGGAGGAUAAAUGGAGUAACCCCAGAGGCAAUGGCAUGUAUGUUUAAAGUGAGCGCACCCUGAUUACAGGGGCACAGAAAUAGAAAAUGGGGAUUUAAUAAUUCAACAAAUGUAUCACAGUCCUAGUCCUAAGGCAAUAAAAAGUCCUGUUACAGAAUGCAUGGCCUCCUUAAUGUAUUAUGGCAGAUAGGCUACCUGGAGUUUGCCUAACCUUUUCAAGUGUGUGCCAGAGAUCUGAAGCACAGAGAUGCUUCAGGCUGGCCUAAGAAGUUCCA